rnacentral:rRNA from 1 species
GAUGAACGCUGGCGGCGUGCCUAAUACAUGCAAGUCGAGCGAACAGAUAAGGAGCUUGCUCCUUUGACGUUAGCGGCGGACGGGUGAGUAACACGUGAAUAACCUACCUAUAAGACUGUGAUAACUUCGGGAAACCGGAGCUAAUACCGGAUAACAUAUUGAACCGCAUGGUUCAAUAGUGAAAGGCGGCUUUGCUGUCACUUAUAGAUGGAUCCGCGCCGUAUUAGCUAGUUGGUAUGGUAACGGCUUACCAAGGCAACGAUACGUAGCCGACCUGAGAGGGUGAUCGGCCACACUGGAACUGAGACACGGUCCAGACUCCUACGGGAGGCAGCAGUAGGGAAUCUUCCGCAAUGGGCGAAAGCCUGACGGAGCAACGCCGCGUGAGUGAUGAAGGUCUUCGGAUCGUAAAACUCUGUUAUCAGGGAAGAACAAAUGUGUAAGUAACUGUGCACAUCUUGACGGUACCUGAUCAGAAAGCCACGGCUAACUACGUGCCAGCCGCCGCAGUAA